GAGGAAUAUUGGUCAAUGGACGCAAGUCUGAACCAGCCAUGCCGCGUGGAGGAUGACAGCCUUCUGGGUUGUAAACUUCUUUUAUAUGGGAAGAAAAGUACGGUUUCUACUGUAUCCGACGGUACCAUAUGAAUAAGCACCGGCUAACUCCGUGCCAGCAGCCGCGGUAAUACGGAGGGUGCAAGCGUUAUCCGGAUUUACUGGGUUUAAAGGGUGUGUAGGCGGAUAUUUAAGUCAGAGGUGAAAUCUCCGGGCUCAACCCGGAAACUGCCUUUGAUACUAUUUAUCUUGAAUUUCGUUGAGGUUGGCGGAAUAUAUCAUGUAGCGGUGAAAUGCAUAGAUAUGAUAUAGAACACCGAUUGCGUAGGCAGCUGGCUGAACGAACAUUGACGCUGAGGCACGAAAGCGUGGGUAGCGAAC
rnacentral:rRNA from 1 species